UUGAAGAAAGGGUCUACAAUAGAAGAGAGAUCAAAACAAAUGAAUAGAACAAAGGAACUUAGAAGAAAUGUCAGAAAAACAUCAAGAAAAGGGCAGUAAGAAUGUUAUUUAAAAAUAUGGAGGUAAAUUUCAGAAGAAAAUGCUGAAAAUGUUUGCCUUUGGAAAACGAGAAUCAAGGGUGAGAAUGGAAACAUCUGCGUGAGAAGGGCCCCUCUCAUAAAAUGAAAACAAAGGACAGAAAGCAUUGCUGAGGGCUUAAGGUGUGGAUGAAAUGACACAUUUAAGCUGAAGAAUCCCCAUGUUGACAGCAUUCAAUCCAAGAAAAGCUCCACUGUACACAUGUUCUAACAUAUGAGUGAUCCAAAAGAGAGCUUCACAUACAAUAUCAUAUGCCUACUUUCUCAGCUCAGAGAGAGGGGCUCAGUCAUUCAUAAACUGGAGCAACAUUCAUGUACUGCAGACCACUAUGAGAGACUUAUCUGUCUCCUGUUUACAGAUGUGUACAGCAAGCGCAAAGCACUGCCUGUCCUUUUACUCACAAUCAAUUGCAGAGAACAUGAAGUACAGAAGAGAACAGCUUUUUUUUUCUUUUGGAAAAUCCCUUAAGUCCUUUCCGUGCUGUGCUAUCAUUGUUCAGGUGCUAAAGUGAAAUAAAUGUGUCAUCUAAUCA
rnacentral:lncRNA from 1 species